rnacentral:lncRNA from 1 species
AUUGCUAACAGACUGAAAGAAAUGUUUGAAAUAUAUUCUCAGCAUUUCCAGCCAGACGAGGAUUUCAGUAAUUGUGCUAAAGAAAUUGCCAGCAAACAUUUUCGUUUUGCGGAGAUGCUUUACUAUAAAGUAUUAGAAUCUGUUAUUGAGCAGGAACAAAAAAGACUAGGAGACAUGGAUUUAUCUGGUAUUCUGGAACAAGAUGCGUUCCACAGAUCUCUCUUGGCCUGCUGCCUUGAGGUCGUCACUUUUUCUUAUAAGCCUCCUGGGAAUUUUCCAUUUAUUACUGAAAUAUUUGAUGUGCCUCUUUAUCAUUUUUAUAAGGUAUUUUUAAAAAUAUGAUACUAAUGGGGAUAUUGUAGAUGAGACCAACUUCCUGUUGUUAGUCAUUUAGUUCAAGUUAACAUCUAAGAACAUUUAUUCUGUUUUUAUUUACAUAGUUAAUCUCUAUUUGUGGAGUAGAAAAGAAAUAGAAUCUUAAGACCUAUGUAAAUUCUUUUAAUAUUGUAUGAAAGAUCUAUUUUGGGUAAAAGCUUUGAUUCCUCUCUAUCUAAUAAAAGUUUUUAGAAUACUGUGAUUUUUAUGAGCUGAGAAGGCUUAAAAAAAGUAGCACACAUGUCACUAGCUAAUCUUGUAUAGCAGCCUUUUUUUAUUUUAUGAAAAUUAAAUACCAUUGAAAAUGUCAGAAAAAAAAUAAAAAGUUCUCUUUCAUGUGUUACAGAGAGGCAUAGAGUUAAAGCAUUGAUUUGGUAGCUAGUUCUUUUUUUUUUUUGAGAUGGAGUCUUGCUCUGUCGCCCAGGCUGGAGUGCAGUGGCGCCAUCUCAGCUCACAGCAAGCU